UAAUGUAUUGUAAUUUUAAUGACUGCAUCUAAAUGAAAUCUAAUUAUUCUUGAUACAGACCAAACUGCAACAAUCGUCACAACCGAGCACCCAGAGUUGUUCAUACCCGUCGAUUCGCAAAAUGAAUUAUUUAUACAGAUAGAGUCGCCAAUCGAUUUUAAUCAACC